GCUUCUUUUAAGAUUUAUUUAUUUAAAAAGUCAAGUGAUCUUCUAUUCUCUGCGUACUCCCCCCUUGGCCGCAAUGGCCAGGUGGGCUGGUUUGAGCCAGGAGCCUGUGGGGCUGGCACUGUGGUAUAAUGGGUUAAGCCAGUGGUGCAGUGCUGGCAUCCAUAUGGGUGCUGGUUUGAGUCUCAGCUGCUUCACCCCCGAUCCAGCUCCCUGCUAAUGGGCCUGGGAAAGCUUCCGAAGAUGACCCAAAUGUUUAGGCUGCUUCUCCCAUGUAGCAGACCUGAUAGAAACUCCUGGUUCAGGGCUUCAGCCUGGCAUAGCCCUGGCCAUCGUGGCUAUUUGGGAAGUGAGCCAGAAGAUGGAAGACCUCUGUGUGUGUGUGUGUGCGUGUGUGCUUCUGUCCCUCUCUUCCUCCCUCCCUCUCUGUAACUCUGCCUUUCAAAUCAAUAAGGUAAAUUAUUUCAUAAAGGCUAGAACUAAUGCAGGUCUCUCACGGGGGUGGCAGGGGACAGUUCUGGGGCCAUCUUCUGCUGGUUUCUCAGGAAGUGCUUACAUUGGGAGCUGGCUCGGAGCCAGGGCUUGAACAGGCACUUGAAUUAUGGGAUGCUGGCAUCAUAAGCAGUGUCUUAGCCUGCUGUGCCAUACACCAGCCCCCAAGAACCAAGGUUUCUUUCCUGCUCCAAAUAUAGUAUCCAUAUCAGCUCCAAAUGUAGUGUCGGGUUCUGUUCGUCCUCAGAGAGGUGUCACAAACAUUUUGUCACACUUGGUGUCACUGGGUGCGGUGAUAAAUAAUCUGCUCGUGUGUUGAACGUGUUUUAUGAACUAUUGGAAGCCCUCGUGCCCUGCUAAAGUCUGCUGGGGACCAUGUACUAACGGGGCAGACAUGCAGAACCAGUGACAGCCAGGUUACUCAUCACCAGAGAGAGUCUACACAAUGUCGCUUUAGCUGGGCAGCCAGACACGAAACCCCACCCUCACCCAUGGCCAGGAAGGGCAGGGGACACAGGCACAGCCCCUGGGUGGCCACCCCUGGUCACAGUGCCUGAGCUGGAUGAGCUCAUAAUGCAGGUGGCGUCCAUGCCAGGGCUCUGCCGGGCAGGAGGCGCAGGUACAGGAAGAGUUCUCUCUCCUGGAGGGCUUCCAGUGGGGGCUGUGAAUGCCAGGAUGGUGGGAGCCCUCUCUCCUGGAAAGACAGCCUGUGUCUGAGAUGGAGUCCAAGGGACAGAGAGACGCAGGUAUCGCGGUUUCCAUUCCUGAAGCAUCAACACGGUCUGAAAGAGUCAGGGGCACAGGUGCUUGGCAGGUAGCGAGGAAGACUUUGGUGAAGUAAGCAGAGCGUGGUCCACCUCCAUCUCUGAGGGGAAAGCCAGGCGCAGCCUCAGACAUGGGUGGCAGUGAGUCCCAGUGGGACACAGUCGUGGGUGGAAAUAAAAAGUUACUAGAGACUGA